UACGUAGGAGGCAAGCGUUGUCCGGAAUUACUGGGCGUAAAGCGCGUGUAGGUGGUGGGACAAGUCUGCUGUGAAAGCGCCUGGCUUAACCGGGCGAGGUCGGCGGAAACUGUCCGACUAGAGGACGGUAGAGGGGGGUGGAAUUCCCGGUGUAGUGGUGAAAUGCGUAGAGAUCGGGAGGAACACCUGUGGCGAAGGCGGCUCGCUGGAUCUUUUCUGACGCUGAGGCGCGAAAGCUAGGGGAGCAAACGGG
rnacentral:rRNA from 1 species